AAUCAUCUAUUUACCUUUAGCAGGGAGGUAAUGAACAGUCCUCUUAAUCUACCAAUCACUACUGAAAUGUAAAUGUGAUAUAAAUGCAAUCCAGUGGGUUUACGGCGUAUUAGAGUCAUCUUAUUUUAGAAUAAAGACUGGAAGUGCCAAUCUCCGUCUGAGGGUCCAUCACCAACCCUAAACCACCCACUAAUUAAUACUUUGUGUCUCAUUUGUUCAGUCUUUUUGGUGACAAAACAAAGGAGGUAUAACAUGUUAAUUAAUGAGCUUUAGAGGUGCUGGUAGGUGGAUUGUGUUACCUUUGAACACCCUGGUUCCAGUCUUUGUGCUAAACUAAUUUAACUGAUUAUAGCUGUCGUGAACUGAUGGGUGUGGUAUUGAUCUUCUCAUCUAAGUAUCUCUGUAAAAAAAACAUAUUUCUCAAAAUGUUGAACUAUUCCUUCAAAGAUUUCCAAUUCCUCCCCCUUUCAGUCUGUAUCAGAUGAAAACACGUUGUAUUAAUCCCCUGCUCAGGUUGAACAUCACAGAUUUUACUGAGGGAAAAACUCGCUUUGUGCUUCACAGGAUGCAGCAGCUCUGCCUUUCCGUGCAGAAAAUUCAGCUAAACCUGCACCCCUCCAGACGGUGAUGUAAUCUCUUCAGUUCUGAUCUGAACAUCAUAACCAAGGUCUGGGAGCCAGCACUGUGUUAUAUAAGAGUGGGCACACACAUACCCAGGGAAGAAGUGUGUGUGUGUGUGUGUGUGAGCAGGGCAGUCAACAUAAAAAGGAGGACAGACUGAUGCAAGGGGGCUCCUUGUUUGUCUGCGAACAUGCUGACAGCUUGAGCAGGAUCCUGUAUUCCAAUGGGAAACCAAGCAAGCCGUGGUUUCCCACUGGCCAGCUAAGGAGUGACUCAGCAACGCAGCUUGGCCCACUCCAUCCAUCUCAUCAUUCUACAAGUACUGUUGCUGAUCAACACCCAGUUACUCAGUUCAUCCUCGCCAACCUGUUUUGUCACCACAAACUGCACUGUACAUAAAUA